UACGUAGGGGGCUAGCGUUGUCCGGAAUCAUUGGGCGUAAAGCGCGUGUAGGCGGUCCGGUAAGUCCGCUGUGAAAGUCGGGGGCUCAACCCUCGGAUGCCGGUGGAUACUGUCGGGCUGGAGUCCGGAAGAGGCGAGUGGAAUUCCUGGUGUAGCGGUGAAAUGCGCAGAUAUCAGGAGGAACACCAAUGGCGAAGGCAGCUCGCUGGGACGGUACUGACGCUGAGACGCGAAAGCGUGGGGAGCAAACAGG
rnacentral:rRNA from 1 species